rnacentral:rRNA from 1 species
CAAGCCUUAGAUGUCUAGCGGGUGUGAGAGCACGACCCGCGCCACUGGCACUGAGACACUGGCCAGACACCUACGGGUGGCUGCAGUCGAGGAUCUUCGGCAAUGGGCGCAAGCCUGACCGAGCGACGCCGCGUGGGCGAUGAAGGCCUUCGGGUUGUAAGCCCUGUCGGGGGGGAGAAAAGGGUAAAACUUUGAUCUAUCCCCGGAGGAAGCACAGGCUAAGUUCGUGCCAGCAGCCGCGGUAAGACGAACCGUGCGAACGUUGUUCGGAAUCACUGGGCUUAAAGGGCGCGUAGGCGGGCCUCCAAGUCCGGGGUGAAAGCCUCCAGCCUAACUGGAGAAGCGCCUCGGAGACUGGGGGCCUCGAGGGAGGUAGGGGCAAGCGGAACUAUGGGUGGAGCGGUGAAAUGCAUUGAUAUCCAUAGGAACUCCGGUGGCGAAGGCGGCUUGCUGGACCUCUUCUGACGCUGAGGCGCGAAAGCCAGGGGAGCAAACGGGAUUAGAUACCCCGGUAGUCCUGGCCCUAAACGUUGGGGACUAGGUAGUCGACCAGACAUGGGUUGACUGCCGGAGCAAAGUGCUAAGUCCCCCGCCUGGGGGAGUAUGGUCGCAAGGCUGAAACUCAAAGGAAUUGACGGGGGCUCACACAAGCGGUGGAGCAUGUGGCUCAAUUCGAGGCUACGCGAAGAACCUUAUCCUGGGCUUGACAUGUGCGAAAGCGCCAGCAGGUAGGACACGGAAACGUGAACGAACGGUAUCCAAUCCGGAAGCUGGUACAGGUGCUGCAUGGCUGUCGUCAGCUCGUGUCGUGAGAUGUCGGGUUAAGUCCCAUAACGAGCGAAACCCUUAUCUUCAGUUGCCAGCGGGUCAUGCCGGGGACUCUGGAGAGACUGCCGGUGUCAAACCGGAGGAAGGUGGGGAUGACGUCAAGUCCUCAUGGCCUUUAUGCCCAGGGCUGCACACGUGCUACAAUGGCGUGAACAGAGGGACGCAAGAGCGCAAGCUGGAGCUAAUCCCACAAAGCACGCCCCAGUUCAGAUCGAAGGCUGCAACUCGCCUUCGUGAAGUCGGAAUCGCUAGUAAUCGCGGGUCAGCAACACCGCGGUGAAUGUGUUCCUGAGCCUUGUACACACCGCCCGUCAAGCCACGAAAGGGUAGAGCCGCCGAAGUCGUCGCAAGGCGCCGAAGCGGAGAUGCCUGAUUGGGACUAAGUCGUAACAAGGUAACCAAGGG